CGAUAGCUAUGUGUCUUGCGCAAUAGUCAAGUUUGAUUGAAGAUUGGUGUGUCCUUUGUGUGCGUCUGACGGUGAUCGUUCAAAAUGUGCUGGUGUGCUCCAAACCUAGCGAGUUUCAAAUCCAUUGGUCGUCAUUUGAGGGAGUUACAUGCUAACAAAGACAUGCAUAACCGGUGCCAGAUUGCAUGUCUUUGCUUACUUGGUGCGAAGCAUAUAGGCAACGCAGAAGGAUAAACAAUGUCUUGUUAAAUGCUAGAGACUGUUCUUUUCAGGAAUACCAAUUAUUUCGGUGUUAAAACCUAGGCAGGUUUGAAUAUCAUGAAUAGUUUUGCUCCGAGUUGGAUUUUGUUGUACAACCCCAUGGAGAACAUGAAUCGUUUUGGAUUAUAAAAACAGAAUUUAUCAAACAAAACAAUGCUUGGCUAAAUCUCUGGGACCAUCAAGAUAAGAAAUCAGACGGCUCAUUGUAAGUACACAGUUUACCAUCAGACACCAAACUAGCGACCCUGGUGCCAUUUGUGUGGAUGUUUACUAUACUCAAAAACUUGCAUAGGAGUUAGUCGCUGUAAUGGCUUCUUUAAAUUGUGUAAUGCAGUUAGAUUCACGAGAUUCUAAGCUUUCUGCACAUAUAUAAUAUGCCUAUAACAAAAAAUAUAUAUUUACAACACUUUGUGGCAUAAACGUUUGGUGUCACGGCGGCAGGACGUCUCAGAGAAUUAACAGGCAGCCAGCGUUAACUGCUCUGUAAGUAACGGUCUGUAAUUUGAAGGGUUACCAAAACACCUACAGGCAGGCAAGCGGUUCCCACAAACUAAUUGUAGGAAACAUAACAAAAAAUACAGUCAGUGGUCUGGUCAAUUUGCAAAGGUGUAUGUAUGUUUUACUAGGGUUAUUUAUCUAGCUAUAUUGGGCAUACUGUGCCCGGCAUAGACAUAAUAAAGAGUAGACCCCGCAUUGGCUGCUGGGCGCGAGAAAUACGGCCGCCAUCUUGGACCGGUCGUACUCCUAGUUGCGUAGCAGCAGAAGCAACGGCGCCAGAGCACUGUGCAGCAUAUUCCUGCUCAAAUCGGCGGACCAUCGAAAGCAGGGCUCGGUGGAUUACUUUUCACAAUGUUUUUCAGGUCCUAGAUGCUUCUAAAUGGUAUAUAUUACACAACAUCAACUUUAUGCAGGUGUCAGAAAGAUUGGUAUGUAUGUUGAUGUGAUGUUAUCUUGUUGAAAUGUUUUUCAAUAUGCAGUUUUGUUUCGGUUGGCAUUAUCUUGUAUUCAGUGUGUUUUUCAGGUCCUAGAUGUUUCUAAAUGGUAUGUAUUACACAACAUCAAGUACAUGUAGGUGUCAAAAGGGUAGGUAUUGCAUGUGUUGUUUUCAAGUUAUCCCAGUUCUGCAAUUAUAUUGUUACAAGUUAAUGUUCCUUUGUGUACAAGUAUACUUUAUAAGUUAAACAAGAAACUGAUCCCAUUCCUAAAAACAUGGAUGCAAACUAAUUAUCUAUCUGCCCUGGUAGCUGUUUACCAUUUUCAUUCUCUGUGAGUUUGCACCCCUGUGAUAGGCACUUUACUGCUUUGUAUUAACAAAAUCACAUGGGGCUUUCUUUGGGUGUCUUUUCGCCAUGAUCAGAGUAAUAAAACCUUUUUCUUUUGCAGGUACUUGUCGGUCAUCGGGUCAAUAACGACGUGUGAUGCUGAUGAUUCCUGAACUGCUUGGAGCUCCUAUUUAAUUCAAUCAGAGCAUCAGGCGGCUGGAAUAACAAUAACAAUCCAGUUCCAGGCCAUCUUCCGCCGGCUGAUGGUUCGGUGUGGUGUCUCACCUGGUGAGACAGGCAAUGUGGCAGCCCAGGAUAACACUGUCCCUGUCUGCAGUGGAGAUGUCCUCUCCUGAAACUGCUGAAGAGCACCCAUCUCCAUUCGCCAACAUUUGGCCCUUGUGUGUGACCACAGUUAUCUCCCCACUCGGUUUGGUGGUCUGGUGGCAAAUGCUCAGGUCUACAUAGCAGGGUUUGUAGUCCGGCAGAUUCUACGAAAACUGUCCUGUGAUGUGUGCUGUGCGAGCUUGGUCAGAGAUGCUGUACCAUCUUCAUUUGACAAGAGCUACCACCUUCUAACCCGGAAAAACGGCGGCCUAGUUUUUCCAUCACAAGGCACAGUGAUGAUUUUAUUCUUUUAAUCUUUGUAUAUUAAGGUUGCUUUGUUCUUAUUUUCUCUGUUUUGUAAAGUGUCUUUGAGCACUGUGUAAAGCGCCAUAUAAAUAUAAUGUAUUUUAUAAUUUUUAUUAUUUUAAUAAGGUGUUGAGAGCUGCAGAGGGGGUGUAGAUGUAUUGAUUGUAUGAGUUAGUGAACUGUUGUAAGCUGUUGUAACCAAUGUAGAUGUAUUGAUUGUAUAAGUUAGUGAACUGUUGUAAGCUGUUGUAACCAAUGAAACAAAAUAUUAAUUGUUUGUAAUAUGAGCUGAAACUGAAGGUGCAAGCAGGAGAAUAGGAAACCCUGUUCAAGCGGUUGCCGGGGAGAGAAAGAUUUAGUAUGUCUGUCUUGUGAGAAACAGGUCACAGGUCAGAGACACACACACAUAGUCGGACAGACAACACAGAAACCACAAGGGGGGCAAGGGGAUACUUGCAGUUAUCCUUAUAAGGAAUAGAACUGGGAUUGGGCCAAUGGCACACUUGCUUUGUAACUUAACGCCGCUAUCUUUUGGGCGUAGUGGAAGUAUAAAAAUGAUGUUUUGACUGUUGAUCCUUAGACAUUGUACGGCGACACCUUGUCUCCAAAAGCUUUUGUAAUAAACGGAAUAUGCGGUACGGUAA
ensembl:lncRNA